rnacentral:rRNA from 1 species
GUCUACGGCCAUGCUACCCUGAACGUGCCUGAUCUUGUUUGAUCUCAGAAGCUAAGCAGGGUCGGGCCUCGUUAGUACUUGGAUGGGAGACUACCUAGGAAUAUCAGGUGCUGUAGGCA